CUGAAAUGAAUGUGUUAGGCCAUUUUUGCAUUGCCAUAAAGAAAUAUCUGAGGCUGGAUAACUUUAAAAAAAAAAAAAAAAAGAGGUUUAUUUAGCUCACAGUUCUGCAGGCUGUACAGGAAGUGUGAUGCCAGCAUCUGCUCAGCUUCUGGGGAGGCCUCUGGGAGCUCUCACUCAUGGUGGAAAGCAAGGGGGUGGGGUACACACAUCACACUCGAGAGCAGGAGCAUGAGAGAAAACGGGAGGUCCCAGACACUUUUGAACAACCAGAUCUCACGUGAAAUGAGUGAGAACUCGCUCAUCACCAAGGGAAUGGUGCUAAGUCAUUCAUGAGGAUCCACCGCCAUGACCCAACACCUCCCACCAGGCCCCACCUCCAACAUCUGGGAUCGAAUUUCAGCAUGAGAUUUGGAAGGGGCGAACAUCCAAACAGUAGCAAUGUCCUAAGGAUGCAACCCCCCCACCCCCCGGAGAACUCUACGGCAUUCUAAUGAAACGGUUCGCCCUUCAUGUUAUUACAGAGCAAGGCUGCAUUUCCAUCAUUGUCCUUUUAAAUGCUUAAGUGAGCCCAGUUACCAAUCAAUACUACUGACAACAGGAAGAGGAAAAGAAGGAAGAAUCAGCGAUACAAAGAGCACAAAGUCAAAAUGAGUCCAACCACUGGACAUGGGUGUCACUGGCAGAAACUUCCAGAAGCUUGGUUCAACAUUACCUGCCACAGGCUCAACCUUAAGGCUUUGAGCUGAUACAAGAACUCCAAGAAUUGUUUCCUGGCACAAUUUCACUCAUUUGCCAAGUUCUACAGCGUGGGAACCUGCAAAGCCUCCCCAUCUCAUCACCACUACGUGACCCAUUCGUUCCACACUGGCCUACGGGGCGUCCAUCCAGGGAGGCGUGUAGCUGUGGCCAGGAUGCAGCAGAGGACAUCUCGGAGUCCCUGCCCUCAUGGGCUCCUGGGACUGUGAAGGGGACAGUCAACAAACAGAAGAGUGCUGGGAGUGUCAAGAGGUGAUGAUCGCCCAGAGGAAAAGACAAGAAAACUGGGAUUCAGGGAGGCCAAG
rnacentral:lncRNA from 10 species